ACGUCACAAACUCACAGAAGUCGUCAGACUGGAUUCUUCCUGUUGAUCAAAAUCCCAACACUCCCUGGUGUUAAAGACGCGUUCCCUCUGCCUCUUUCAGCUGUUUCAAACAAGCAAAUGAACAGAGCAUGGAUCAGAGAAAACACAGAGAGGACGGAGCCCCUCCCUCUAAAACCACUCACCCCCCCAAAGCUCAGAGACCUGCUCCUGGGACCAGCGCCCACUCAUUCAAGAGUGACGACUCUAUGGAACAUGGGAUU